ACUGAGCGUGUGAGGAGGACGCCGUGUUGUGUGUGUGUCUGUGUGUGUGAGUCAGUCUGAGGGUGACCCUAGGUGUGCGAGACGCAGUGUGAGGGUGACGCUUUUAGUGUGACGGAGACUCGGUGUGUGUGUGAGAGAGACCCUAGUGUGGAGGUGACUCCAUGAGUGUGAGAGGGACUGAGAGGGAGAUUGUGAGAGACUGAGUGUGAGAAAGACCGCGGUCAGAGUGGCCCUGAGUGCGACCCUGUGAACGUGAAAGAGACCGUGUGAGAUACUCCAGUGUGAGUCUGGUGCUGAGAAAGAACCUGUGCUGCGUGGGACUCCGAAAAUGAGUAAAGGCCCGGGGGACGAGCCUGAGGAUGUGAGCACCGGAGCAGGGCUUCCUGGGGCCGCAGGGAGACUGGCCUGUUGGAGGGAGGACGUCUCCAGGAUGUGUGGAUACUUUACUACAAAAGUGAUGCAAGUGGUGCUCAUGGGACCUGGGACAGAGGGAACAGCAGUUGUCUAGACAUGCAUGAUUUGAAAGGACCAGGCUGGUUCUCAGACACGUGUUCAGUUACACGCCACUGUGGAGAUUAAUUGGAAACAUGCGGAAUUAGGCCUGGCUGUGGAGACUUCAUUUUCUUCUUCGUACCUGACCAUUUAUGAUGAGGUGGCUUAUGAAAGUGUGAUGU